GAUGGACGCUGGCGGCGUGCCUAAUACAUGCAAGUCGAGCGAACGGACGAGAAGCUUGCUUUUCUGAUGUUAGCGGCGGACGGGUGAGUAACACGUGGAUAACCUACCUAUAAGACUGGGAUAACUUCGGGAAACCGGAGCUAAUACCGGAUAAUAUUUUGAACCGCAUGGUUCAAAAGUGAAAGACGGUCUUGCUGUCACUUAUAGAUGGAUCCGCGCUGCAUUAGCUAGUUGGUAAGGUAACGGCUUACCAAGGCAACGAUGCAUAGCCGACCUGAGAGGGUGAUCGGCCACACUGGAACUGAGACACGGACCAGACUCCUACGGGAGGCAGCAGUAGGGAAUCUUCCGCAAUGGGCGAAAGCCUGACGGAGCAACGCCGCGUGAGUGAUGAAGGUCUUCGGAUCGUAAAACUCUGUUAUUAGGGAAGAACAUAUGUGUAAGUAACUGUGCACAUCUUGACGGUACCUAAUCAGAAAGCCACGGCUAACUACGUG
rnacentral:rRNA from 1 species